AAUAUUGCGCAAUGGGGGAAACCCUGACGCAGCAACGCCGCGUGAGUGAAGAAGGCCUUCGGGUCGUAAAACCCUGUCAUCAGGGAAGAAAAAAAUGACGGUACCCGAUGAGGAAGCCCCGGCAAACUACGUGCCAGCAGCCGCGGUCAUAGGUAGGGGGCAAGCGUUGCCCGGAAUUACUGGGCGUAAAGGGUGCGUAGGCGGACGAUUAAAUCAGAUGUGAAAUACCACGGCUCAACUGUGGGGGUGCAUUUGAAACUGGUUGGCUUGAGUGCAGGAGAAGAAAGUGGAAUUCCUAGUGUAGCGGUGAAAUGCGUAGAGAUUAGGGGGAACACCAGUGGCGAAGGCGACUUUCUGGACUGUAACUGACGGUGAGGCACGAAAGCGUGGGGAGCGAACAGG
rnacentral:rRNA from 1 species